rnacentral:lncRNA from 1 species
AACGAGUUGCCCCCACUACCAGAGGGUUCUCCACCAUUGCCUAUUGAUUCUCCUCCUCCACCCCCACCUUUGCCUCCUUCACCGCCCCCACCACCACCUCCUCCAUUAUCUCCAUCACCUCCACCGCCUCCACCUCCUUUUCCGUCACAGCUGCCCCCACUUCCUCCACCACCUGCAGGGCCACCUCCACCUACAGGCCCUCCUCCACCUGCAGGGCCUCCUCCACCUACAGUCCAUCCACCACCUAUGGGGCCUCCACCAUCUACGGGUCCUCCACCACCUAUGGGGCCUCCACCAUCUACGGGUCCUCCACCACCUAUGGGGCCUCCACCUCCAAUGGGCCCUCCACCUAGGGGUCCUCCACCGCUUAUGGGUCCUCCACCACCGACGGGGCCUCCACCACCCACAGGCCCUCCACCACCAAGGGGUCCACCACCUAUUGGGCCUCCACCAC